rnacentral:rRNA from 1 species
UACGAAGGGGGCUAGCGUUGCUCGGAAUGACUGGGCGUAAAGGGCGCGUAGGCGGAUGGUACAGUCAGAUGUGAAAUUCCCGGGCUUAACCUGGGGGCUGCAUUUGAUACGUGUUGUCUAGAGUGAGGAAGAGGGUCGUGGAAUUCCCAGUGUAGAGGUGAAAUUCGUAGAUAUUGGGAAGAACACCAGUGGCGAAGGCGACUUACUGGACACAUAUUGACGCUGAGGUGCGAAAGCGUGGGGAGCAAACAGG